AUCCUUUCUGUGGUGAACCACGUUGUGGGUUUACUGUUCUGUGGCAGUCGACCUCCUCUGUGGUGGUGUUCAACGUUUUCUGUGGUGGUUGAGUGGUGUUCAACCUUCUCUUGGUGGCCGUUGUUCUGGUUCUAGGCUGUCUUUUCUCUCUCGGUAAUCACUUUAUGGUGGCUGGGUCGCUGUGGGCACAUCGGCUCCGUCUGUGGUGGCGGCGAGGUGAUCGGCGACGUCUGUUGCUGUUUGUGCUAGGUGCUGGGCAGGUAUCAGUCUGUCGAGUCUUUAUGCUUGGUUGUUUACCUUUUCUUUUACUCUUUAUCGACCCACUUACUCUGUCCAUGGGCUUUUCUCUUAUUUGUCUUGAGUGCUUGGGCCUCUUUUUCAUUCGGAAUUGGAACUAAAUUGAUUUGGGUUUGCUGUUAUUUUUUUUAACUGUUUGGGCUGAUUUUUUAGUGGGCUUUCAUCAUGUCUAUUGAAAAUACUAUAGUAAGAUUUACUGGAAAGAAUUUUUCUCCGUGGGCAUUUAAAUUUAAAAUGUUCUUGAAAGGGAAAGAAUUAUCCAAUCAUAUUGAUAGCUCUAUUCGAGUUCCCAUUAAUGAAAAGGAAUUUGCCCAAUGGGAGGUCAAGGAUGCUAAGGUGAUCUCCUAUCUAUUGGCGACGAUUGAGCCCUAUCUUGUCACCAAUCUUCACUGUUUUACUACAGUUCAAGCUAUGUGGGACUACCUGCAUCGUAUUUAUCACCAAGACCACAGUGCUUGGAAAUUCCAAUUAGAGUUGGAAAUUAGCAAUUACACUCAAGGUAAUUUGACCAUUGAGUAAUUUUAUUCUGGUUUUAUUAAUCUUUGGAGCGAGUAUUCUGCUAUUGUUCAUGCUAAGGUUCCACCGCGGCACUUGCGGCUCUUCACGCGGUUCAUGCUAAGAGUCAAUGCAAUCAGUUUUUUAUGGAACUUCGACCUGAAUUUGAGCCUGUUCGAGCCGAUUUAUUGAACCGUAAUCCGGUUCCUUCCUUGGAUAUUUGCUUGGGAGAUUUAUUGCGUGAAGAACAGCGGUCAUCCACUCAGAUGGGUAUGACUUCUGAUAAGGUCUUUUCUGAGGCUGUGAAUGUAGCCUAUGCAACUCAAGGGAGAGGGAGGAACAAGUUGCAGUGUUUCAGUUGCAAGGAGUUAGGUCAUAUUGCUCGCAACUGUCUGAAGAAAGUUUGUAACUACUGCAAGAAGGAGGGCCAUAUCAUCAAAGACUAUCAAGUGCGGCCUCAGAAUCGCCAAUCCCAAGACUUUCAAGCUGUUGUUCAGCCUUCAUCUUCUUCUGCGCCCCCCAUUGUGAGCUCUAAUUCAUCUGUUCUCACACCUGCCAUGGUCCAACAGAUGAUUGUGUCUGCUUUUACAGCUUUAGGCCUGCAAGGAUCAGGUAUUGGGGACGGUGAUCGUGAAGGGUCCUAAAUUCAGUACUUGUAUCAAAAUCUUACACUCCGACUCAGGGGGAAUAUAUGUCUCAUUCCUUUCAGACUUAUCUUCAGCAAAAAUGAAUCAUUUCUCAGCGUUCUUGUCCUUAUACCCCUCAACAAAAUGGAGUUGCUGAGCAUAAGAAUCCUCAUCUCUUAGAUGUUGUUCUUACUUUAUUGAUUGAUUCUUCUGUACCUUCUAAGUUCUAGGUAGAAGCUUUAUCUACUGCUGUUUAUUUGAUCAAUCGUUUGCCUACUGCCACUCUAAAUUAUGAUUCUCCAUAUUUUCGAUUAUUUGGCAUAUCUCUUGAGUAUCAAUCCUUUCAUACUUUUGGUGUGUUUGUUUUGUUCAUCUGCCACCUGUUGAUCGUCACAAGCUUGCUGCCCAGUCUGUCACGUGUGCUUUUAUGGGAUAUAGCCCUACUCAGAAAGGAUUUAUUUGUUAUGAUGCUCAUGCAAACAAAUUUUGGAUCUCCCGAAAUGUGAUUUUCUUCGAAAUCAAUAUUUCUUUCAGUCUCAGGUUAUUUCUGAUUCUCCUAUUACUCUUUUACCAGCUUUUGAUGAUGUGUCUUCUUUUAUUGAGCGAUUUAGACCAGGUUUAGUGUAUCAUAGAAUUCCUCCUUCAACGCCUCUUCCAGACACUGCUCUGUCAUCUGAUUAUGCGGUUCCUAUACCUCGGCGCUCCACCCGGGUUAUACAUCCACUAUAUAGAUAUAAGGCCCGUCUCGUGGCAUUUGGGAACCGAUAGGAGUAUGGUAUUGAUUAUGAAGAGACAUUUGCACCUGUUGCCAAAAUGACUACUGUACAGACUAUCUUGGCCAUUGCUGCGUCGUAGGGGUGGUCUCUCCGACAGAUGGACAUGAAUAAUGCUUUUUUACAUGGGGAUUUGAAAGAAGAAAUAUAUAUG